AUUGAACGCUGGCGGAAUGCUUUACACAUGCAAGUCGAACGGCAGCACGGACCUCGGUCUGGUGGCGAGUGGCGAACGGGUGAGUAAUGUAUCGGAACGUGCCCAGUCGUGGGGGAUAACGUAGUGAAAAUUACGCUAAUACCGCAUACGAUCUAUGGAUGAAAGCGGGGGAUCGCAAGACCUCGCGCGAUUGGAGCGGCCGAUAUCAGAUUAGGUAGUUGGUGGGGUAAAGGCCCACCAAGCCAACGAUCUGUAGCUGGUCUGAGAGGACGACCAGCCACACUGGAACUGAGACACGGUCCAGACUCCUACGGGAGGCAGCAGUGGGGAAUUUUGGACAAUGGACGCAAGUCUGAUCCAGCCAUUCCGCGUGCAGGAUGAAGGCCCUCGGGUUGUAAACUGCUUUUGUACGGAACGAAAAGGUCUCUCUUAAUACGGGGGGCUCAUGACGGUACCGUAAGAAUAAGCACCGGCUAACUACGUGCCAGCCGCCGCGGUAA
rnacentral:rRNA from 1 species